rnacentral:rRNA from 1 species
UACGUAGGGUGCAAGCGUUGUCCGGAAUUAUUGGGCGUAAAGAGCUCGUAGGCGGCCGACUAAGUCGGGUGUGAAAGCCCAGGGCUCAACCCUGGAAGUGCACUCGAAACUGACCGGCUUGAAUAUGGAAGAGGGUCGCGGAAUUCCCGGUGUAGAGGUGAAAUUCGUAGAUAUCGGGAGGAACACCAGUGGCGAAGGCGGCGACCUGGGCCAAUAUUGACGCUGAGGUGCGAAAGCGUGGGGAGCAAACAGG